rnacentral:misc_RNA from 1 species
GCUCCGUUGGUGAACCAGCGGAGGGAUCAUUAUCGAGUUUAUAACUCCCAAACCCUAUGUGAACUUACCACUUGUUGCUUCGGAGCGCGCUUCGGCGCCGCAGAGGACACUUAAACUCUUUGUUUUUAUAAGCAUUUCUGAGUGGCCGAAAGGCAAAAUACAAAUGAAUCAAAACUUUCAACAAAGGAUCUCUUGGUUCUG